AAUGGUAAAUUGUCUGCCAAACUUGAUCCACAAGUUAAAAGAAGGGGACUGCAAUGCAAAAUAAAUUCAGUAGAGACGUCAUAAUCCUUGCAUAUAAAAGGCACACAAAACAUGCCUUUCAAGGCAGAGGAGAGAGCUGAAGAAGGAAAAAAAUAUACCAAAAAAUCUACAAAUUCUACUGUUCCAUAAAAUUUUUGAGAGUUGAAAAGAAGGAACCCUUGAAGAUUUUAGGUUUUUAGGAGCUAAGUAGUGAAAAUAUAUUGUUUCAUAGAUUUCUAGGAGAUAAAUAGAUAAGAAUUCAGAGACGGCUGAAGCUUUCCUGCAUUUUGGUUUGAAAAUUUUCCUGGGUUCUUGCUUUGAUUUUUAUUGGGUGUAUGUGCUGGAAAUUUCAAGCUCUUUGGUUCAUUUGGGUUAAAAAUGGUUUAAAGAAGUCAAGUAGCUGUGUUGAUCUGUUGAAAUAUACAUACUCUAUGUUCUCCUACUCUAUUUUCCAUACCCAGGUAUACCUUGGAUCUAGUGAUGUGAAGCAUGAACAUGAGCAAAUAUUUCAAGUGAUGAAUACCGAUUAGCAUUAAAUUUGUUGUUGUAUAUUCAUUGUCAGAUUUAAUUUGUCUUUAUAAUCUGUUUUAUUUGUUUAAGUUUGUAUUCGAG
rnacentral:lncRNA from 1 species